AUUUAAAUAGCGUUACAUUAAAUAUAUAUAAAGUAAUAUACAGUGCUAUAGUGCAGGUUUAUCUCCAGCAAUUGCUUAUUAAAUGGAUACAGUAACAGCAGUCGUUUCAUUUUCUCUUGAAUGUAGCUGUUUAAAAAAACAGCAUGCAUUGUCUCAAGAGGUUUACUGUUUUCAGGGUUUUUUCCCAGUGUUGUAUUGCUUUUUUCUAAGGAUGCUAUAUGCAGACAAUGCAGAUUUCAAAGCCUAGCUGCUCGAGUGCCGUCAUACUUCCUAGAAAUCAAACAGGUCACAGCGCUACUUAUUAGGAUGAGAAGACAAGACAAUCAUAUGAAUAUGAAUCAUGCGCAGCAACUCCCAACAUCAUGGCUGGGAUUUUUACUAUUAUACCCCACAGACAUGCUUGGAAGAAGUAAUUAAAGAAAUCUUUCUCCUCCCUCUCAUAUUCUUCUAAAAUCAUCAGAAGCACACUUCAAGAGCAUAAAGUAUGUAGGGCAACUCAGUGAUAGCUUGUGUGUAUGAGGAGAGCGAGAGAGAGAGAGAGAGAGAGAGAGAGAGAGAGAGAGAGAGAGAGAGAGCGAGAGAGAGAGAGAGAGAGAGAGAGAGAGAGCAAAGCAUAGAGAGAGAGAGAGGGAGAGAGAGAGAGAGAGAGAGAGAGAGAGAGAGAGAGAGAGAGAGAGAGAGAGAGAGAGAGAGAGAGAGAGAACCCAUGCUUUAUGUAAAUCCUUUUGCAUGAAUAUAAUUAUUUGCAUGGCUUUAUUGCUAAUCUUCAAUAGACAACAAAAACAUUUACAGAGAAAAGAAAAUACCAAGUUUCUCACUUGUGAUGUACCCUA
ensembl:lncRNA